UGAUUAAGUUAUUAAGGGCGCACGGUGGAUGCCUUGGCACUAGAAGCUGAUGAAGGACGUUACUAACGACGAUAUGCUUUGGGUAGCUGUAAGUAAGCGUUGAUCCAGAGAUUUCCGAAUGGGGGAACCCAGCACAAGUUAUGUUGUGUUAUCGACAUGUGAAUACAUAGCAUGUCUGAAGGCAGACGCGGAGAACUGAAACAUCUUAGUACCCGCAGGAAGAGAAAGAAAACUCGAUUCCCUGAGUAGCGGCGAGCGAAACGGGAAGAGCCCAAACCAAUGAGCUUGCUCAUUGGGGUUGUAGGACACUCUAUAUGGAGUUACAAAAGAAUCGAUUAGACAAACCGUACUGGAAAGUUGGACCAGAGAAGGUAAAAGUCCUGUAGUCGAAAAUCGAUUCUCUCCUGAGUGGAUCCUGAGUACGACGGAGCACGUGGAAUUCCGUCGGAAUCCGGGAGGACCAUCUCCCAAGGCUAAAUACUCUCUAGUGACCGAUAGUGAACCAGUACCGUGAGGGAAAGGUGAAAAGUACCCCGGAAGGGGAGUGAAAGAGAACUUGAAACCGUGUGCUUACAAGUAGUCAGAGCCCGUUAAUGGGUGAUGGCGUGCCUUUUGUAGAAUGAACCGGCGAGUUACGAUCUGAUGCAAGGUUAAGCAGCGAAUGCGGAGCCGCAGCGAAAGCGAGUCUGAAUAGGGCGUUGAGUAUUUGGUCGUAGACCCGAAACCAGGUGAUCUACCCUUGGUCAGGUUGAAGUUCAGGUAACACUGAAUGGAGGACCGAACCGACUUACGUUGAAAAGUGAGCGGAUGAACUGAGGGUAGCGGAGAAAUUCCAAUCGAACCUGGAGAUAGCUGGUUCUCUCCGAAAUAGCUUUAGGGCUAGCCUCAAGUGAUGAUUGUUGGAGGUAGAGCACUGUUUGGACGAGGGGCCCUUCUCGGGUUACCGAAUUCAGACAAACUCCGAAUGCCAAUCAAUUUAACUUGGGAGUCAGAACGUGGGUGAUAAGGUCCAUGUUCGAAAGGGAAACAGCCCAGACCACCAGCUAAGGUCCCAAAAUAUAUGUUAAGUGGCAAAGGAUGUGGUAUUGCCCAGACAACUAGGAUGUUGGCUUAGAAGCAGCCAUCAUUUAAAGAGUGCGUAAUAGCUCACUAGUCGAGUGACACUGCGCCGAAAAUGUACCGGGGCUAAACAUAUUACCGAAGCUGUGGACUGUCCUUCGGACAGUGGUAGGAGAGCGUUCUAAGGGCGUCGAAGCAUGAUCGCAAGGACAUGUGGAGCGCUUAGAAGUGAGAAUGCCGG
rnacentral:rRNA from 2 species